UAACGGUGUUAUUCAGUCGAUUUUCUCGAUGUUACAUUAAAAGUUCUUUCAAAUUUUGAAAUUCCACGACUCCAUUAACAUUCAUUAUUAUCAAUACUACAUGUCUGUAUCAUCAAGUACUAAAGUCUAUUGAUUGCUGAUGAUAAUAGGUCAAAAUUAGAUUAUUGUAUGACUUCAUAGGUAUAUCCUGAUUCAGUUUUGAUGAAGUUUUGGACAAAUAAGUUCAUGUGUGAACUCUAAAACUGUUCAAGAUUACUGAGAUAUUUUUAUGUCGCGUCCGAGAGUUGGGUAUACUUGAAAUCAACUUCAAUGUCUCACAAAGAGAAGCUCGUUUUCGUUUCAAAAGGGUUUUGUACGUAACUGUGAGUAGGUGUAGUUUUCUCAUAUUCUGCAUUGAAAGCCAACCACAUUGUUUCAUUUUGUGACUAAUGUGAUCAAAUUUGUGACAUCCGUACUAGUACUUUAUGCAAGCAUUUUGUAUUCUCUGCAGACGGAAGGAAUCGCAUAGGAGUAAAGAAGGUCCAUAAACACCGUCACAAUAUGAGAGUUUUGAAAAAAUGAGAGUUUCGCAUAAUGUCAGCUUCAUCUUCUUGGAAAGAUCACGAUUUGGGUACAAUUGUCUGAGAGUAUUAUAUGAUACCUCACAUAAGUUGUUGAUAUGUCCCGAAAAUCUCAGCUCACUGUUAGAUACAAACCUAGAUCCGGCAGUCCUUGACCUGAGGGAGGUAGUCAUUUUCAAUUUUUCAAUGGCUGAAUUUCUGGACGACGUAAGACCCAGAUUCAUGAAAGGAGAUUUUUUCCAUUGAGCUUCAGACUGUGAGCCGUAGAUAUGUCCAACAAUGACUGAAGAUCUUGAUUAUUAUUAUUUCUGAGUGGGUUAUGGAAGUCGACUUGAAAGUGGAGUAUAUUUGUCUGUCGUCUGCUUAAUGGUGGGUUUGACUAUUCUGAUGUAUUCAUGGAAAUCCGAUAUAUGAAUACUGAAUAGCAAGGCACCUAAGAUUGAAUCCUGUGAUACUCCAUAUGCAACAUUCAAUGUUUCAGAUCUAUCGUUGUCCAUCACUACCCUUUGUAUGCGAUUAGUUAGGAAGUCUCGUAUGAAGUUAACAGAAUCAGAUGAAAAACCAAAAAAUUCAAUUUUUGAACAGUAUAACUCAGUUCAUUCAAAUUUUUGAAUGCUCUGAUUUUAUCGUGGUAUAUUGAUAAAUCGAAAAUAUAAUCGAAUAUAUUGUUACGACAGCUUCAAAUCUACAUUCAGCUCCUUGAAUUUAUGAAAAAUUAACCUUUUUCAUUAUUAACAGAGUGAACUACCAAUAAUUCGACAAGCGUUCUGCAAGAUAGUGUCGAAUUAUAGCUUAUAUAGUUUGUUUUUGAAAAAUAUUUAUAAAAUUAAUGACGUAGUUAGUCACGCCUUCUCAAAUUUAUUUUCUCAACUGGCAGAUACUUGAUGAUUAUAGGUAACUAACGUAUUCAAAAAAAACUUUGUGAGAUUUUCAGUAAACAUUUUUACGAAAACGGAACACGUGUUUCGUCAUAUAAUGGCUUCUUCAGGCGUGAUAAUCUCACGAAAAAGUGUUUUCUGAAUGAGUUAGUUUCUUAACUGAAUUAAUUGAGAAACUCUUUAUUGAGAUUGAAAAAUGGUUCUGUCACAAUAAACUCACUAUCAAUUUCGAAAAUACUAAAUAUUUACCCUUCAUAUCAUAUUGCAGUUCAUUACCCGAUAGAGGAUACUUAGGAAUCUAAAUGUCAUACAGAAAUGGAUACUGAAAAUUAUAUU
rnacentral:lncRNA from 1 species